rnacentral:rRNA from 1 species
AACGAACGCUGGCGGCAUGCCUAACACAUGCAAGUCGAACGAGACCUUCGGGUCUAGUGGCGCACGGGUGCGUAACGCGUGGGAACCUGCCCUUAGAUUCGGAAUAACUCCCCGAAAGGGGUGCUAAUACCGGAUAAUAUCUUCGGACCAAAGAUUUAUCGCCUUUGGAUGGGCCCGCGUUGGAUUAGCUAGUUGGUAGGGUAAAAGCCUACCAAGGCGACGAUCCAUAGCUGGUCUGAGAGGAUGAUCAGCCACACUGGGACUGAGACACGGCCCAGACUCCUACGGGAGGCAGCAGUGGGGAAUAUUGGACAAUGGGCGAAAGCCUGAUCCAGCAAUGCCGCGUGAGUGAUGAAGGCCUUAGGGUUGUAAAGCUCUUUUACCCGGGAUGAUAAUGACAGUACCGGGAGAAUAAGCUCCGGCUAACUCCGUG